GAUGAAGAACGUAGCGAAAUGCGAUACGUAAUGUGAAUUGCAGAAUUCAGUGAAUCAUCGAAUCUUUGAACGCACAUUGCGCUCUCUGGUAUUCCGGAGAGCAUGCUUGUUUGAGUAUCAGUAAACACCUCAACUCCUUUAUUGUAGUUGGACUUGAGCUAUCCCAACAGGACUUUUUGUUCCUGGCGGGAGGCUUGAAAUGCAGGUGCAGCUGGACUUUCUUCUGAGCUAUAAGCAUAUUUAUUUAAUCCCUUAACACGGAUUAUUACUUUUUUGCUGCAGCUAACAUAAAGGUUGAAUUUCCAUUGAGCUGACUGAUGCAGGAAUUUGGCAAGGAAUUUUUUUAAUGACUUGUUAAACUCGAUCUCAAAUCAAGUAAGACUACCCGCUGAACUUAAGCAUAUCAUAGCGGAGGA
rnacentral:misc_RNA from 1 species